rnacentral:lncRNA from 1 species
ACCCUUCAAACAUAUAAUAUUUUAAUGCUUUUUAUAGGGUGAAAGAGGAGAAUGUGGAACACCAGGGCUAAAAGGGGAGAGAGGACUAGAAGGUCCAUUUUUCCCUAGAGGACCUCGGGGACCUCAGGUAUACUCUGAUGUUCCUGGAGAACAGAAUUUGUACUGGAACUGGCAUUCCACUUCUUUAGAGUUCUUCUCCAGCUGAGCUCCCUGACAAGCCUUGGGGGAUCUGCUGCCAUCCUGUAGCAUUACAUCAUACUACUUCCAUAUUAGGGCAGUGUCUGAAGUAAUUCCCAAGCACAGGCUGCAUUUCUGGACCACCUUUAUCCCCAGUCAGCGAGGCCCACCUGAUGCCUGGCCUUUC